rnacentral:tRNA from 1 species
ACAUAUAUAGUAUAUUAAAUAUAUUAGAUUUAGACUCUAAAGAAAUUAAUAUGUU